AUGGACCCCUUUCCCAUACACAAAAUCAUCUGCCUUGUUUGUUGGUCAUUUUGGUUAUUCCCAUUCUGUGCAUCAUCCGGCAGCCGCCUUCUUCCCGACAAGCCGCUUUCUGCUGGAAGCACCAUCACCUCCGACGACGGCACUUUCGCCCUGGGAUUCUUCUCCCCGUCCAGCUCCGGCAGAAAACAUUACUACGUCGGAAUAUGGUACAAGAACAUACCCAAAGACAAUGUUGUGUGGGUUGCCAAUCGUGCUAUGCCGAUUGCUGAUCCUUCUUCUGUAACACUGGCCUUCACAAACGGAUCCAAUCUGGCCCUGUCAGACACCAAUGGCCAGCUUCUCUGGAUGACAGAUAUCAGCGCCGCAGGGAAUUCAUCGUCAGAGGCAACUGGUGGAGAAGCCACACUUGAUAACAAUGGGAAUUUUAUCCUUCGGUCAUCACAGGGCAUCAUCUUAUGGCAAAGCUUCGAUUAUCCGACCGACACUCUCCUUCCAGGUAUGAACCUCAGGAUCACCCACAAGACGCAUGGACUACAACGGCUCGUCUCUUGGAGAAACACCCAGGACCCAUCCCCGGGCAACUUCUCAUAUGGUGCACACCCUGAUGAGUUUCUGCGGCGUUUUUCAUGGAAUGGUUCGACACCAUACUGGCGAAGUCCAGCGUGGAAUAACUAUUUGUUAGUAGGGCGGUACGUCGAGAGUGUCAAGUCCACAAUUCACUUCACACUGAAUACUAUUGAUGAUGAGGUGUACAUUUCCUUUGGACUACCAGAACCAAGUGUCUCCUUAGUGCUACUGAAGAUGGACUACUCAGGAAAGAUGAAGUUACGAACCUGGAAUAGCAACAUGUCCAAAUGGGCUGACCUGCGAUCAGAACCUAAACAGGAAUGCAACAAAUUUGGUUACUGUGGUCCAUUUGGUUACUGCGACAACACGCAGCCUAUUGUGACAUGCAAGUGUAUUGAUGGCUUUGAGCCAAACAACAAGCAAGACUGGACGGGGCACAGGUUUUCGCAGGGAUGCCACCGGAUGGAAGCACUAAGAUGUGGUCAACGGGAUAGCUUCUUAAAUUUGCCAAGCAUGAAGGUUCCCCACGAGUCCUUGCAUGUCAAGAAUAUAAGCUUAGAUGAAUGCAUAGCAGAAUGCACCAGCAACUGCUCCUGCACGGCGUAUGCUUUCGCCAAUACGAGCACCAAGGAUAUCAAUGGGGAUGAAACUAGGUGCCUAUUAUGGAACGGAGAUUUGAUUGACACAGAGAAGCUCAUUGGACAAGGGCAAAACCUCUAUAUCCGGGUUAAUGGAUUGAGUGAUAAAAAGCGGAAGAGCACUGUUUUAAAAAUUACACUGCCAGUCGUGUCAAGCUUGCUCAUAAUCAUAUGGGUGUGCCUUGUUUGGAUCUGCUGCUUGGGAGGCAAACAAAGAAACAAGAAAAUUUGGAAGAAGCUGAUGUCAGGAACUUCGAGCACUUCAGUUGAACUUUGCGACGGAAACUUAAAGUAUCCUUCUAUUAGGUUCAAAGAAAUUGUACUUGCAACAAACAAUUUCUCUAACUCCAACAAGCUUGGACAUGGAGGUUUUGGCAAUGUUUACAAGGGAACGUUAGAAGAUGGUACAGAAAUUGCUGUGAAAAGGCUUAGGAAGGGUUCUGGCCAGGGAGUACUGGAGUUCAGAAAUGAAGUACUACUCAUUGCGAAGUUGCAGCAUAAAAACUUGGUUAGACUUCUCAGCUUCUGCAUCCAUGGAGAUGAGAAACUAUUAAUAUAUGAAUACUUACCUAACAAAAGUCUGGAUGCCAUGCUUUUCGAUGCCACAAGAAAAUCAAUGCUUAAUUGGCCAAUAAGAUUCGAGAUAAUCAAAGGGGUAGCUAGAGGACUUCUUUAUCUUCAUCAGGAUUCAAGGUUGAAGAUAAUUCACAGGGAUCUCAAAGCAAGCAACAUAUUAUUAGAUGCCGAAAUAAGCCCUAAGAUAUCUGAUUUUGGUAUAGCAAGGAUAUUUGGUGUCGAUCAGCAGCAAGAAAAUACCAACCGCGUUGUUGGCACAUACGGUUACAUGUCGCCUGAAUAUGCUUUGAACGGAGUGUUCUCUGUCAAGUCUGAUGUAUACAGCUUUGGAGUUUUACUACUAGAGAUUGUGAGUGGCUCAAAGACCAGCUCUGUGCACCUAAAAGCAGACUUCCCCAGCAUUAUAGCCUCUGCAUGGAGCUUAUGGAAGGAUGGGAACACAAAGGAUUUUGUUGACUCGUCAAUUGUGGGGAGUUGUUCACCUGAUGAAACUAUACGGUGCAUCCAUAUUGGACUUUUGUGUGUUCAAGACAGCCCAAAUGCGCGGCCACUCGUGUCAUCAAUUGUGUCCUUUCUGGAGAAUGGAGAUAUAUCACUUCCACCUCCAAAAGAGUCUGUGUAUUUUGCUGAAAACAACAAUGGAAAUGAUGGAGCAGCAGAAAAUACUGUAAAUUCUGCAAAUAACAUGAGCAUUACAGUAGUAGAGGGACGCUAG
rnacentral:rRNA from 1 species